rnacentral:rRNA from 1 species
UACGAAGGGGGCUAGCGUUGCUCGGAAUCACUGGGCGUAAAGGGCGCGUAGGCGGCCAUUCAAGUCAGAGGUGAAAGCCCAAGGCUCAACCUUGGAACUGCCUUUGAUACUGUUUGGCUUGAGACUGGUAGAGGUAAGUGGAACUGCGAGUGUAGAGGUGAAAUUCGUAGAUAUUCGCAAGAACACCAGUGGCGAAGGCGGCUUACUGGACCGGUUCUGACGCUGAGGCGCGAAAGCGUGGGGAGCAAACAGG